AGAUGUGAGGGUGAUCUGGCUGCAGCAUCUGUCACCCCAUUGAUCACCAGGGUUGAUUCUGCUGACAUGGCUGACUAGGCAGGUGUCCCCUUUCUCCCUUACCACUCCAUGUGCGUCCCUCCCGAAGCUGCACCCUCGGUUGAAGAGGGCAGCCUUCCCUGAUAGAAGGAGGACCAUCCUUUGAUCAAGGCUGUACGAGUAGCUGUGCUCCCCUGCUAGAACCCCCAAACAAGUCUCAAAGAUUUCCUGGGUGGUUGUGUUAGUCUGGGUUGACUAGAGAAACAAAUUUCAUAGACACUCAUAUGUGUAAUGGAGAACUUUAUAU
rnacentral:snRNA from 1 species